UACUUCGUGGCUAACUAUCGU
rnacentral:piRNA from 1 species